GGUCGGUACAGAGGNUCGCGAGCUCGCGAGAGUAANCCAAUCUCAAAAAACCGAUCUCAGUUCGGAUAGAAGUCUGCAACUCGACUUCUUGAAGUCGGAAUCGCUAGUAAUCCCGGAUCAGCACGCCGGGGUGAAUACGUUCCCGGGCCUUGUACACACCGCCCGUCACACCAUGGGAGUCAGUUGCUCCAGAAGUGGCUUGCCUAACCGUAAGGAGGGCGGUCCCUAAGGAGUGGCUGGUAACUGGGGUGAAGUCGUAACAAGGUAACC
rnacentral:rRNA from 1 species